CCUACGGGGGGCUGCAGUGGGGAAUAUUGGACAAUGGGGGGAACCCUGAUCCAGCCAUGCCGCGUGUGUGAAGAAGGCCCUCGGGUUAUAAAGCACUUUCAGUGAGGAAGAACGCCUGGUGGUUAAUACCCAUCAGGAAAGACAUCACUCACAGAAGAAGCACCGGCUAACUCCGUGCCAGCAGCCGCGGUAAUACGGAGGGUGCGAGCGUUAAUCGGAAUUACUGGGCGUAAAGCGCGCGUAGGUGGCUUGAUAAGCCGGUUGUGAAAGCCCCGGGCUCAACCUGGGAACGGCAUCCGGAACUGUCAAGCUAGAGUGCAGGAGAGGAAGGUAGAAUUCCCGGUGUAGCGGUGAAAUGCGUAGAGAUCGGGAGGAAUACCAGUGGCGAAGGCGGCCUUCUGGACUGACACUGACACUGAGGUGCGAAAGCGUGGGUAGCAAACAGGAUUAGAUACCCGAGUAGUC
rnacentral:rRNA from 1 species